rnacentral:rRNA from 1 species
GACGAACGCUGGCGGCGUGCCUAAUACAUGCAAGUCGAACGCAGUGGGGACGGGUGAGUAACACGUGGGUAACCUCCCAUCAGAGGGGAUAACACUUGGAAACAGGUGCUAAACCGAUACUGAUGGAUGAACCCGCGGUGCAUUAGCUAGUGGGUGGGGUAACGGCUCACCAAGGCCACGAUGCAUAGGCGGCUGGAGGGCGUGAUAGGCCACACUGGGACUGAGACACGGCCCAGACUCCUACGGGAGGCAGGAGUGGGGAAUUGUGGGCAAUGGACCAAAGUCUGACCGAGCAACGCAGCGGGAGUGAAGAAGGUUUUCGGAUCGUAAAACUCUGUUGUUAGAGAAGCGGUAUCUAACCAGAAAGCCACGGCUAACUACGUGCCAGCAGCCGCGGUAAUAC